rnacentral:rRNA from 1 species
ACGGUCCUAAGGUAGCGAAAUUCCUUGUCGGGUAAGUUCCGACCUGCACGAAUGGCAUAAUGAUGGCCAGGCUGUCUCCACCCGAGACUCAGUGAAAUUGAAAUCGCCGUGAAGAUGCGGUGUACCCGCGGCUAGACGGAAAGACCCCGUGAACCUUUACUAUAGCUUGACACUGAACAUUGAAUUUUGAUGUGUAGGAUAGGUGGGAGACUUAGAAGUAGUCACGCCAGUGAUUAUGGAGUCGACCUUGAAAUACCACCCUUUAACGUUUGAUGUUCUAACGAAGAUUACGAAACGUGGUCUCGGACAGUGUCUGGUGGGUAGUUUGACUGGGGCGGUCUCCUCCCAAAGAGUAACGGAGGAGCACGAAGGUUUGCUAAUGACGGUCGGACAUCGUCAGGUUAGUGCAAUGGUAUAAGCAAGCUUAACUGCGAGACAGACAAGUCGAGCAGGUACGAAAGUAGGUCAUAGUGAUCCGGUGGUUCUGAAUGGAAGGGCCAUCGCUCAACGGAUAAAAGGUACUCCGGGGAUAACAGGCUGAUACCGCCCAAGAGUUCAUAUCGACGGCGGUGUUUGGCACCUCGAUGUCGGCUCAUCACAUCCUGGGGCUGAAGUAGGUCCCAAGGGUAUGGCUGUUCGCCAUUUAAAGAGGUACGUGAGCUGGGUUUAAAACGUCGUGAGACAGUUUGGUCCCUAUCUUCUGUGGGCGUAGGAGAAUUGAAAGGGCCUGUCCCUAGUACGAGAGGACCGGGAUGGACACACCACUGGUGGACCUGUUGUCGUGCCAACGGCACAGCAGGGUAGCUAUGUGUGGAAGGGAUAACCGCUGAAAGCAUCUAAGCGGGAAGCCUGCCUUGAGAUAAGUUCUCCCUGACGCAAGUCCUGAAGGGCCGAGGUAGACGACCUCGUCGAUAGGCUGGAGGUGGAAGCCCUGUGAGGGGUGGAGCUGACCAGUACUAAUAGCCCGUGCGUCUUGU